GACAUACUCCCUCCGUCCGGAAAUACUUGUCAUCAAAAUGGAUUAAAGGAGAUGUAUCUAGACGUAUUUUAGUUCUAGAUACAUCCCUUUUCAUCCAUUUUGAUGACAACUAUUUUCGGACGGAGGGAGUACCAA
rnacentral:pre_miRNA from 1 species